CAGCAGCCGCGGGAAUACAGAGGGUGCGAGCGUUAAUCGGAUUUACUGGGCGUAAAGCGUGCGUAGGCGGCUAAUUGAGUUGGAUGUGAAAUCCCCGAGCUUAACUUGGGAAUUGCAUUCGAUACUGGUUAGCUAGAGUGUGGGAGAGGAUGGUAGAAUUCCAGGUGUAGCGGUGAAAUGCGUAGAGAUCUGGAGGAAUACCGAUGGCGAAGGCAGCCAUCUGGCCUAACACUGACGCUGAGGUACGAAAGCAUGGGGAGCAAACAGGAUUAGAUACCCGCGUAGUCCCUGUCUCUUAUAC
rnacentral:rRNA from 1 species